GAGGGUAUAGCUCAAGUGGUAGAGUGCUUGCUUAGCAUGCACAAGGUCCUGGGUUCAAUCCCCAGUACCUCCU
rnacentral:tRNA from 1 species